rnacentral:rRNA from 1 species
UACGGAGGGGGCUAGCGUUGUUCGGAAUUACUGGGCGUAAAGCGCACGUAGGCGGCUUUGCAAGUUAGAGGUGAAAGCCCGGGGCUCAACUCCGGAAUUGCCUUUAAAACUGCAUCGCUAGAAUUGUGGAGAGGUAAGUGGAAUUCCGAGUGUAGAGGUGAAAUUCGUAGAUAUUCGGAAGAACACCAGUGGCGAAGGCGGCAUCCUGGACCGAUACUGACGCUGAGGAGCGAAAGCCAGGGGAGCAAACGGG